AUACGUAGGUGGCAAGCGUUGUCCGGAAUUAUUGGGCGUAAAGCGCGCGCCGGUGGUUCCUUAAGUCUGAUGUGAAAGCCCCCGGCUCAACCGGGGAGGGUCAUUGGAAACUGGGGAACUUGAGUGCAGAAGAGGAUAGUGGAAUUCCAAGGGUAGCGGGGAAAUGCGUAGAGAUUUGGAGGAACACCAGUGGCGAAGGCGACUGUCUGGUCUGUAACUGACACUGAGGCGCGAAAGCGUGGGGAGCAAACAGGAUUAGAUACCCUGGUAGUCCACGCCGUAAACGAUGAGUGCUAAGUGUUGGGGGGUUUCCGCCCCUCAGUGCUGCAGCUAACGCAUUAAGCACUCCGCCUGGGGAGUACGGUCGCAAGACUGAAACUCAAAGGAAUUGACGGGG
rnacentral:rRNA from 1 species